CUACAUGAAGCUGGAAUCGCUAGUAAUCGCGAAUCAGAAUGUCGCGGUGAAUACGUUCCCGGGUCUUGUACACACCGCCCGUCACACCAUGGGAGUCGGAAAUGCCCAAAGUCAGUGACCUAACCGAAAGGGAGGAGCUGCCGAAGGUGGAGCCGGUAACUGGGGUGAAGUCGUAACAAGGUACC
rnacentral:rRNA from 1 species